AGGGAAUUAGAUUAAUGGUAGAUCACCACUUUUACACUGUGGCUGCAGAGGUUCGAUUCCUCUAUUCCCUA
rnacentral:tRNA from 1 species